CUCCUCUCCUCUCCUCUCCUCUCCUCUCCUCUCCUCUCCUCUCCUCUCCUCUCCUCUCCUCUCCUCUCCUCUUCUCUCCUCUCCUCUCUUUUCCCGGAUCAACUAGGAAUACCAAAGGAGACCAUCUGGUAUUGAAACAAGACAGGACUAGAGCAACUCCAGGAACCCACCAAAUCACCGUUCAUACCAACUGAUACUGCAUCUGCUGAUCCCAACCUACUCAAUGCAUUGAGUAUUACCUCGGCAUGCUUCACUUCGGAAUGUGUCCAGAGACGUCAGGUAUGGAAUGUCAACCCUUCAGCCUCAUUACUCAGAAGAGGUGGUUGAGGUGAAAGAGGAGGAGGUGGUAGAAGAGAAGAAAGCCAUCUAUCAGGAGCAGAGGAAUCAUGCAGGCAUGGAGCUCCAAUGAAAACCUGGGUCCCCAGUCUCUGUGCUGGAUCGGCUCCCCUGCAUAUGGAAGGACUAUUCACAUAUGAUCCUGAAACACAAGCUAGAGACGUUGGUGUCCACCAAAGAAACAGGGAGCUGAAUUGAAGAAACACCUGCCCUCAUGGUUGUAUUCAGAGGAAGGAUCCACCAGAUGUUUACUAAGAUGUUUUCAAGGUGAUUUGGGCACUGCGCAAUCUCUGCCUACACGUUUUCCCUUACUUCCAGGGAACUAGCCUCUGACAGUGGGGUUCCAGCACAGGGGCCUUCUGAGACCUUAGUCUCCGGAGUUACCUGUUAUCACUCCACACCUGGGUUUGCUUUUUUUUUCCUUAAGGAUUUAUUUAUUUAUUGCCUCCAGGGUUAUCAUCGGGGCCUGCACUAUGAAUUCACUGAUCCUGGAGGCAUUUUUUUCCAUUUUAUUGGAUAGGAUAGAGAGAAAUAGACAGUGGAGGGGGAGAUAGAGAGGGAGGAGAGAAAGAUAGAUACCCACAGACCUAUUUCACCACUUGUGAAUCGACCUCCUUGCAGGUGGAGGGCAGGGCUCCAACCUGGAUCCUUGUAUAGGUCUUUGUGCUUUGUACUAUUUGUGCUUAACCACUUUUUAUUUAUUUUAUUUAUUUUAUUCGUGUACCACUGCCUGCCCCCCUAUAUAUUUCAUUUUAAUAAAAGGGAAAGACAUUGAGAAAGACCAGACUACUGCUCAUCUCUGGUUAAUGGUAGUGUUGGGAAUUGAACCUAGAACUUUAGAGUCUCAGGCAUGAAAAUCUUUUGCAUAACCACCUUUCUAUUUCCCCAGCCCCUCAUAGAGAAUUUCAAUGUAAUGCAAUGACAGAGUACUGUAGAGGAAAGAGAGCUUGGUCUCAACUUGGCUUGGUAGUGGGACCUCAGAUAAAUCGUAUAUACAUCCCCUGGGUUGAUUGACAUACAGUAAUAGAUACCAGUCGUUGGACAAAUAAUUCAGAACCAAUAUUAGUGGUCUCUAGGGACUUUCUGGCCUAGGGAGGGUUCAGGACCUUGGCCCAGAGGAUAAUGCUGGGGCUCAGUGCCUGCACUACGAAUCCAAUGCUCCUGGAAGCCAUUUUUUCCUUUUUUUUUUUUUUUUUAUUGGAUAGGACAGAGAGAAAUUGAGAGAGCAGGGGAAGAUAGAGAGGGAGAGAAAGAUAGACACCUGCAGACCUACUUCACUGCCUGUGAAACAACCUCACUGCAUGUGGAAAACAGGUAGCUCCAACGAGGAUCCUUGCACUUUGGUGCACUACCCUCCCCUACCCCCGUGUCUUAUUUCCUUUCUUUCUUUCUUUCUUUCUUUCUUUCUUUCUUUCUUUCUUCCUUUUUUUUACUAUUUUAUUUUAUUUAUUAUUGGAUAGAGACCACCAGAAAUUGAGAGGGAAUGGGGAGAUAGAGAGGGAGAGAGUCAGAGUGACACCUGCAGAUUUGCUUCACUACUUGUGAAGUUUUCCCUUUGCAGGUGGGGACCAGGGGCUCGAACUUGGGUCCUUGCACAUUGUAAUGUGAGUGUUUAACCAGGUGCACCACCGCCUGGCCCCCGUGUCUCAUUUUUUAAGUGAGAGAAAUCCCAUUGUUGCCUGUCCAUACACCCCCUGAUCCAUCCUUUCCCCAACAUUUCUAUGCCCCUUCCAUGCCACUCUUGUGAAGCUCCAUGUUGUAGCACUGUCCUACCCAGAUCUAUGUUUUUCUCUCUCUCUUCCUUUGUUCUUUCCUCCAUUUCUUUCUUUCUUGCCUCUCCUCUCCUCUUCCUUUCUUUCUUUCUCUAUUUCUCCUUGUUCUGCUCU